rnacentral:rRNA from 1 species
UACAGAGGUCUCAAGCGUUGUUCGGAUUCAUUGGGCGUAAAGGGUGCGUAGGCGGCGUGGUAAGUCGGGUGUGAAAUCUCGGAGCUUAACUCCGAAACUGCAUUCGAUACUGCCGUGCUUGAGGACUGGAGAGGAGACUGGAAUUUACGGUGUAGCGGUGAAAUGCGCAGAUAUCAGGAGGAACACCGGUGGCGAAGGCGGCCAACUGGACGAAUACUGACGCUGAGACUCGAAAGCGUGGGGAGCAAACAGG